rnacentral:rRNA from 1 species
UACGAAGGGGGCUAGCGUUGCUCGGAAUUACUGGGCGUAAAGCGCACGUAGGCGGUCUUUUAAGUCAGGGGUGAAAUCCUGGAGCUCAACUCCAGAACUGCCUUUGAUACUGAGAAGCUUGAGUCCGGGAGAGGUGAGUGGAACUGCGAGUGUAGAGGUGAAAUUCGUAGAUAUUCGCAAGAACACCAGUGGCGAAGGCGGCUCACUGGCCCGGUACUGACGCUGAGGUGCGAAAGCGUGGGGAGCAAACAGG